CUGUAAGUUUUCUGAGAGUGUCUCAUCUAAAACUCCUUCUUCUACUUCUCAUUUUUGGAAGAAUCCAAAUCAAGAAGAUGGAGGCAUCUGAUCGACCAUCAAAGAAGGAUCAGCGCAGUACUAGCAUACUGUGCUGAUUUCCUGGACCAAAACUUCUGAUCAUGAUUCGUGGGCUCGUGUGGAUGACUUCUAGAGGUCGGACAUAUGUGCAGCUCGCAACAUCAUCCUCAAGCUCGGAUCAGCAAAGUUAGAACGUCUAACUUGUAAGGUAAUAGAUCUGA
rnacentral:lncRNA from 1 species